ACACCCUGACCUAACCAAAAUGAUAAAGAAAACAUAGAUUACUACGGUCAGGGCGUGAUAAUAUCAAAGGUUUGUUUGAGUUAACGGUGAAAAGACCAAGCUGUCUCCAUCGCACAGCAUGCUUGGCUAUCAACAGCAAUAAAUCAAAUCAAUUUAAUGAGACUUGGAAGGGGCGCGCCCUUCCAGAUUGUCUCAUUUUGAAAAGGGAAACUAAAGGCAAUGGAUGGASUGGACUGUGAGCUGAAAACCUGAGCAAAUGAUGGAGAACAAACAUAUUUCUGUCUCCCAGCAUCUUAUUGAGUAAUUGGAGGACCAGACAUAGCGAAGUGAUUGAAGAGACCCUGUGUGUUAGAUACAUCACCAAGCGGUUCAUUGGAGAGUAUGACCAUCAAAAGGGAGUAACUUACAGGUGUUGGAAAACUGUGGACAAGGAGACCAUCGAUUUUGAAAUAUUGGACACAG